rnacentral:lncRNA from 1 species
UCAACUGCUACGAUAUCUUGAACGACCAUAAUGAAGACACUUACGGUUUAUUUCGUUGUCGCCUAUAUCUUGCUGUCAUUUCUCGUAUUCACAUUCCUUAUCUCACUUCUUCUUCUUUCACCUUAUACUCUUUCAUCUUAUACUCCAUUGAUUCAUAAAUAAAACAUUUGCUAUACAUCAUUGAAUUGAGACAAUUAGAAGAGAUAUGUCA